AUUAAAAUAUGUAAUAUCUGAAAAUUUCUCUCGAAAACUUGCUUUUUCCGAAAAGCUUGCUGUUCCGUGAUGUUUCAUCAAUGUAAUAAAACACGCUGACCGCUCAGAGCUGCAGACGGCAGAGCUGCAGCCGGACACCUCCGUUAUUCCCGCCGCUAUGGCAGUCAGUCCUGUUACUUGGCCCCAAGACGGAGUGCAUCCUUCCAGUUCUGGGCCCCGACCUCCCGGCCCGCGAGGGUGAGGGCGCUCAGCACAUCCUGGCUCUUCGAGAUGCCGCCUCCCUACCUGAGUCUUCCACUUUCUACCCGGGAGGCGAGGACCGUGCAGGUGUGCUGUCCUGUGACUCCACUCACCGACGCGGUCUCCUAGAGGCAGACCGGGGCCAUCGCUCUCCACCUCCCUGCUCCGAGGCUUUCCUGGGCUCCCCGUCCGGAAGUCCCGGGAGAUGCAGCCUGCGCACCCAGAACCCGUCUCCCUGUUGCGGCACCGUUCUUCUGCUUGAAACUCAUUGGAAAGAUGAGUUCCCCAGCAGGCGGGUCCUCUACUCCACUCCACGAAGCUCAAGUCACAGACCAGUGAGACAGCACAGGCACAGCCUACGCCAACAUAUUCAUGGUAAGUCAAUACUGACACGUAGAAAGGUCACGCCCAAUACACUGGGCUUUCCACACACAUUGCCUCAUUUUAUCUGCACACCUGCUCUAUGAGGGAGCAAUGCUCCUGCCUCAGCCUCCCAGAGUGCUGAGCUCACAGGCAUGAGCCACCACACCCAGCUUCAAUAAACAUUUCUAAAAAUCAAAUGAAUGAAUAUGCACAGGUGGCAGGGCUGGGAGCG
rnacentral:lncRNA from 1 species